rnacentral:rRNA from 1 species
UACGUAGGCAGCAAGCGUUUGUUCGGAAUUACUGGGCGUAAAGAGUGUGUAGGCGGUUUUCUAAGUUUGGUGUGAAAUCUCCCGGCUUAACCGGGAGGGUGCGGCGGAAACUGGAGUGCUUGAGGGUGGGAGAGGUAAGCGGAAUUCCUGGUGUAGCGGUGAAAUGCGUAGAUAUCAGGAGGAACACCUGUGGUGUAGACAGCUUACUGGACCACUUUCUGACGCUGAGACACGAAAAGCGUGGGGUAGCAAACAGG